rnacentral:rRNA from 1 species
UAUCUCUGUAGAGUCUGCAUAUCAAUAAGCGGAGGAAAAGAAACUAACUAGGAUUCCCUCAGUAACGGCGAGUGAAGCGGGAAGAGCUCAAAUUUGAAAUCUUCAAGGUUCUACCUUGACGAAUUGUAGUUUAAAGAAGUGUUUUCUGUUGGAGUUUUGGUAAAAGUUCUUUGGAAUAGGACAUCAUAGGGGGUGAGAAUCCCGUAUUUGACCAUUACUUUCCAGCUUUGUGAUACACUUUCAAAGAGUCGGAUUGUUUGGGAAUGCAGUCCAAAAUGGGUGGUAAAUUUCAUCUAAAGCUAAAUAUUGGCGAGAGACCGAUAGCGAACAAGUACCGUGAGGGAAAGAUGAAAAGAACUUUGAAAAGAGAGUUAAACAGUACGUGAAAUUGUCAAAAGGGAAGCGUUUGACACCAGUGUUGUUUUCUCGAAAAUCAAUUAAAAAAGGCAGGAUUUUGUGUUGUAUUGACUUUAUCAGCUUUCUGCACUCUUUUCUUGUCUUUUUUUAAUGCACUUUUCGUUUAACAAGUCAACAUCAAUUUCUUUUGUUGUAAAAGGGUCAUUGGAAGGUGGCUUUCUUUUCGGAGAAAGUGUUUAUAGCCUUUGGCCUCUGCAAUCGGAGAGAUUGAGGUCUGCAGCGUAGAUCCUUCGGGGUUAGAUACAUUUGUGCUAAGUUAUAGCCUUUCAUAGACAACUUGUUGACUAUGAUCAGUCAUGUAGCUUACUCGCUUAUGCUAUUUUACCUACGCUUAGGAUGUUGAAGAUGUAGCACAUCAU